CCUAUCAACUUUCGAUGUUACUUGCUGCGCCUACCAUGGUGACCACGGGUAACGGGGAAUCAGGGUUCGAUUACG